ACCAGUUUCAUUAAGGAUAGAUUCUAUACAUUUCAUCCAAUAAAGUUUAACAUUAUUUCCAUGAGAUAAACUAAACAUUAAUUUGUAUGCAAUUGCUGAUAAUUUACUGGGUUUGCUAAAAAUCAAUUUCGCCCAGUAUGAAAUCAUGCGAACCUUGAUAUCUAAACUAAUAGGAUAACGUCCUAAUUCUCCAUAUAUAUAACACAAUUCGGGGUAGAAGAUUUAAGAUGGAGUAGAAGUUUACAAAAUUUCAAAUGAACCCUUUCUAAAAUAUCAUUAUUUCCAAAUCCCCAAAUUUCAC
rnacentral:lncRNA from 1 species